GACGAACGCUGGCGGCGUGCCUAAUACAUGCAAGUCGAGCGAAUCGAUGGGAGCUUGCUCCCUGAGAUUAGCGGCGGACGGGUGAGUAACACGUGGGUAACCUGCCUGUAAGACUGGGGUAACUUCGGGAAACCGGAGCUAAUACCGGAUACUUUCUUUUCUCGCAUGAGGGAAGAUGGAAAGAUGGUUCUGCUAUCACUUACAGAUGGACCCGCGGCGCAUUAGCUAGUUGGUGAGGUAACGGCUCACCAAGGCAACGAUGCGUAGCCGACCUGAGAGGGUGAUCGGCCACACUGGGACUGAGACACGGCCCAGACUCCUACGGGAGGCAGCAGUAGGGAAUCUUCCGCAAUGGACGAAAGUCUGACGGAGCAACGCCGCGUGAGCGAAGAAGGCCUUCGGGUCGUAAAGCUCUGUUGUUAGGGAAGAACAAGUACGAGAGUAACUGCUCGUACCUUGACGGUACCUAACCAGAAAGCCACGGCUAACUACGUGCCAGCAGCCGCUGUAAAAC
rnacentral:rRNA from 1 species